UGAUUCCAGUGUGAAUCAGCAGUAGGUAUAGGCCAGUACUUUCUGGAAGUGCUCAGAAGUACUGGUCUAUUAUUAUGUAGCACAAGACCGGCAAGCGAAUGGAUGCUUGCAUACAAAUUCAUUUGCCGGUCGUAAGAACAUGGAGCACUAAGUGCGGAAUGUUCGUGUGCGAAAUCG
rnacentral:misc_RNA from 1 species